UACAGAGGUGGCAAGCGUUGUUCGGAAUUACUGGGCGUAAAGGGCGCGUAGGCGGCCAUCUAAGUCAGACGUGAAAUCCCCCGGCUUAACCUGGGAACUGCGUCUGAUACUGGACGGCUCGAGUUUGGGAGAGGGAUGCAGAAUUCCAGGUGUAGCGGUGAAAUGCGUAGAUAUCUGGAGGAAUACCGGUGGCGAAGGCGGCAUCCUGGACCGACACUGACGCUGAGGAGCGAAAGCCAGGGGAGCAAACGGG
rnacentral:rRNA from 1 species